rnacentral:misc_RNA from 1 species
UCGACACGCUUAACAAUUCCUAUCCGAUAUUUUCCAUCAAUCCGUCGAUUCAACGAUUGGUAAUACAACCUGCAAAUCUGUUAUCAAAUACCUGCAUUUCAUCUGAUUUUAUCCACCAAGGCAUCCAGUUGAGCUCUUCCCUACCGUUCAACAUUACCGGCGAGAACACUGUCAUGCUUUUUAACUGCUCCGAGUCGAUACUUGAUCAACCGUUGAAUUGUUCGCCGAGUAGCUUGUGCCACUUAUACGUUAAGGGAGAAGAUUACUCUCGGUGCAGAGAUUCAUCGUUGUGUUGUACAUUCAAAGCGGGCGGGUCAGCGUCGGCCUAUAGGAUACGCGUCCUAGAAAACGGGUGUAGGGCUUAUAGAAGUUUCAUUGGUUUGGAUUGGGGUUUGCCAGUGGAUAAGUGGCCAAACCCGGGUGUGGAGAUCCAGUGGGUGCUUCCUCCGGAACCAGUGUGUGAAUCUCAGGUGGAUUGUGAUGCGAACUCUACGUGUGAGCUCAACCGUUCUGAUGGGGUAAGGAGGUGCUAUUGUAAGGUUGGGCUUCAAUGGAAUCCAAUCCAAGGAAACUGUGCCCAAACUGGUGGAUGUCAAAGUCCUGGAGGAUGUGACAGACAAACGAAGAAAACACUCAUAACAGCUUUAACUUCUAGCCUUAGUGCAUUGGUCUUGCUGAUCACUAUUGCCAUUCUACUCCACAAACGCUAUAAACGCAUCAGAGAGGCACAAAAACGUCUUGCCAGACACUGCGAAGAAAUCUUGAGUGUUGAUGGAAGCAAAUCAGCAAAGCACUUUACAAGUAAAGAAAUUAAGAAAGCAACAAAAAACUUCUCCAAAGAUUGCCUCAUAGGUGUCGGAGGCUACGGUGAAGUCUACAAAGGCUAUUUAGAGGAUGGCACUGUUGUUGCUGUCAAGUGUGCUAAGGUUGGAAAUUCCAAAGGCACUGAUCAGCUCCUCAAUGAAGUUCGUAUUCUAUGCCAAGUCAAUCAUAGAAGCCUUGUUCGUUUGCUCGGCUGUUGCGUUGAACUUGACCAACCUAUCCUAGUUUAUGAGUACAUUCAAAACGGGACUCUUCUUGAUCAUUUACAAGGUCU